AAGUCGUUAUUUUUCAAUUCAAAAUCAAUUUUACUAAACCCCUUUUGAAACUUAUGUGGUAUCGGCGGACUACAAUCGAUUGUUUUAACUGAAACAAACACAAGUCCAGACGAAUUCCAGCUCAAUUAUUGAUCAACAUCGAGGCAUAGACUACGAAGUACCUUGUAGUCUAUGGUGGAACUUCGAAAGUUCGGGGCUUCGGGCAUAACAGCUGGUCUGUCUGCUACUGAAUUGUUGGGUUUACGUUAAUGGAAUGUUAAAAUGAAAAGAGUUUUAUAUUUAAUAAAGAAAAUAGAAGAGAAAAUAAACAUUUCUGCUGCGAGUCCGCAUAUCUUGCUGAUCUUCGAAACUGACAUUCGGCUUGGAAGCUUCCAUAAAUUCCAACAUAUAGGUGAAGUGAUGUAAUAUGGCGUCACAUGUCAGAAGCAAGUUGACUUUAAGAAUUACCAUCUGUAUGGUGUGGAUUUUAUUACGACCAAGUGCAACAUGCUAGGGCUACGCAAGACUGUCUGGUUUGCACAGGCAGUACACUGCAGACUAGAAAACUGAACCAUUAACUGCAAAUGAGUCUGUGCGUCUUAAGAAGAAAAAGUUAUCUUUCUAUUUUCUGUGCAUCAUAAGAAGAAAAAGUAAUCUUUCUAUUAGGUUGACUUACAAAUGCUGAAUUACAUAAGCUGACCAGCUGGAAAUGUUUUAUCUGCUCAACCUACGGUAAAAACUAAAUCCUCACAGUCACACCACCUACUCCAUACACUUGACUGUGUGACACCAAUACUUUAAACAAGUUGAAUUGAAUAGUAGUUGAAUGAACAGAACGACUUAUCAAUACUUGAACGGAAUAAAAAAAAAAAAAAAAACGGCAAUUGCACUAAACCCAUAUUGACACGUCCAGGUUUGUGAACUUCACUACCUUUCGCCAUUCCAGCUUUUACUAUGUAUUGAUAGAUGCAGAACACUGUUUACAGAAUAAAGAGCCAAACCCAGAA